UGGGGCAUGGUGUAAUGGUAACACGUCGGACUUUGGUUCCGAAAUUCCAGGUUCGAGUCCUGGUGCCCCAG
rnacentral:tRNA from 1 species